AUGAACGCUAGCGACAGGCCUAACACAUGCAAGCGAGGGGCAGCACAAGGAGCAAUCUGAGGUGGCGACCGGCGCACGGGUGAGUAACACGUAUGCAACCUGCCUGUAAGCGGGGAAUAACCCGUUGAAAGACGGACUAAUACCGCAUAAUACUAAAUUACUGCAUGGUAAUUUAUUUAAACAUUUAUGGCUUACAGAUGGGCAUGCGCAUGAUUAGCUAGUUGGAGAGGUAACGGCUCCCCAAGGCAACGAUCAUUAGGGGUUCUGAGAGGAAGGUCCCCACACUGGUACUGAGACACGGACCAGACUCCUACGGGAGGCAGCAGUGAGGAAUAUUGGUCAAUGGACGAGAGUCUGAACCAGCCAAGUCGCGUGCAGGAAGAAUGUCCUUAAUGGAUUGUAAACUGCUUUUGCAGGGGAAUAAAGUGCAUCACGUGUGAUGUUUUGUAUGUACUCUGCGAAUAAGGAUCGGCUAACUCCGUGCCAGCCGCAGC
rnacentral:rRNA from 1 species